rnacentral:lncRNA from 1 species
AUAAAAGUAAAUUGAGUUGUCAAAAAAAAAAUUCUAAGUUCAAACUUAGGUUAGAAAUUUUUAGGUUAAAUUGACGUAGAUUCGACAACGCUUCGCUCUAGCCAAAAUUGAACUCUCUCGGUGUCAAAUUUGCGCGGCCUUAUAUACCCUUUUUGGACAAAGGCUUCUUGGAUAUCCGAAUAUGAUCGCCUCAGUUUGAAUCUGGGCUCUCUGAUUGGUUGAUAAAAUGGCGGGAAUUAUAAAUUACACAGAUAAUCGCGCUUUCGGGUGUCAAAUUCCUUCGAGAAAUUCGUAAUUUGAUGUUAAAGUUUGGAAA